CUCGUGCUCCCUCCGUCCAACAAAAGAUGUCUCAACUUUAUCAAAAUUUGGAUGUAUUUAGACAUCACUUAGUGUAUAGAUGCAUUCAAAUUUAUUCAAAGUUGAGACAUCACUUGUUGGACGGUUUGUUGGACGGAGGGAGUAGCAU
rnacentral:pre_miRNA from 1 species